GACGAACGCUGGCGGCGUGCUUAACACAUGCAAGUCGAACGGUGAAAGCGGAGCUUGCUCCGCUGGAUCAGUGGCGAACGGGUGAGUAACACGUGGGCAACCUGCCCCUCACUUCGGGAUAACUCCGGGAAACCGGGGCUAAUACCGGAUAUGACCUCCUUGGGCAUCCUUGGAGGUGGAAAGCUUUUGCGGUGUGGGAUGGGCCCGCGGCCUAUCAGCUUGUUGGUGGGGUGAUGGCCUACCAAGGCGACGACGGGUAGCCGGCCUGAGAGGGUGACCGGCCACACUGGGACUGAGAUACGGCCCAGACUCCUACGGGAGGCAGCAGUGGGGAAUAUUGCACAAUGGGCGCAAGCCUGAUGCAGCGACGCCGCGUGAGGGAUGACGGCCUUCGGGUUGUAAACCUCUUUCAGCACCGACGAAGCGCAAGUGACGGUAGGUGCAGAAGAAGGACCGGCCAACUACGUGCCAGCCGCCGCGGUAA
rnacentral:rRNA from 1 species